rnacentral:rRNA from 1 species
AACGAACGCUGGCGGCAUGCCUAACACAUGCAAGUCGAACGAGACCUUCGGGUCUAGUGGCGCACGGGUGCGUAACGCGUGGGAACCUGCCCUUAGGUUCGGAAUAACUCCCCGAAAGGGGUGCUAAUACCGGAUAAUGUCUUCGGACCAAAGAUUUAUCGCCUUUGGAUGGGCCCGCGUUGGAUUAGCUAGUUGGUAGGGUAAAAGCCUACCAAGGCGACGAUCCAUAGCUGGUCUGAGAGGAUGAUCAGCCACACUGGGACUGAGACACGGCCCAGACUCCUACGGGAGGCAGCAGUGGGGAAUAUUGGACAAUGGGCGAAAGCCUGAUCCAGCAAUGCCGCGUGAGUGAAGAAGGCCUUAGGGUUGUAAAGCUCUUUUACCCGGGAUGAUAAUGACAGUACCGGGAGAAUAAGCGCCGGCUAACUCCGUG